rnacentral:misc_RNA from 1 species
GAUUCAAGAAUCCCGAAGUGAAGAAUCUUGCCGUCCGUACAUGGACUUGCCCGAACUGUGGGGAAACCCAUGACCGAGACGAGAACGCUGCGCUGAACAUUCGGCGUGAAGCGUUGGUGGCUGCGGGAAUCUCAGACACCUUAAACGCUCAUGGAGGCUAUGUCAGACCUGCUUCGGCGGGCAAUGGUCUGCGAAGUGAGAAUCACGCGACUUUAGUCGUGUGAGGUUCAAGAGUCCCUUGGCGCCC